rnacentral:rRNA from 1 species
UUGGCUCAGGAUGAACGCUGGCGGCAUGCCUAACACAUGCAAGUCGAACGAAGCACUGAAGAAUGGAGAUUCGUCAAAGUUCUUCUUUGACUGAGUGGCGAACGGGUGAGUAAUGCGUGAGCAACCUGCCCUUCAGAGGGGGACAACAGUUGGAAACGACUGCUAAUACCGCAUGACGUAUUCGGGAGGCAUCUUCUGGAUACCAAAGGAGAAAUCCGCUGAGGGAUGGGCUCACGUCUGAUUAGCUAGUUGGUAGGGUAACGGCCUACCAAGGCUGCGAUCAGUAGCCGGACUGAGAGGUUGAACGGCCACAUUGGGACUGAGAUACGGCCCAGACUCCUACGGGAGGCAGCAGUGGGGAAUA